rnacentral:rRNA from 1 species
AGUGAACGCUGGCGGUAGGCCUAACACAUGCAAGUCGAACGGCAGCACAGUAAGAGCUUGCUCUUACGGGUGGCGAGUGGCGGACGGGUGAGGAAUACAUCGGAAUCUACUUUUUCGUGGGGGAUAACGUAGGGAAACUUACGCUAAUACCGCAUACGACCUACGGGUGAAAGCAGGGGAUCUUCGGACCUUGCGCGAUUGAAUGAGCCGAUGUCGGAUUAGCUAGUUGGCGGGGUAAAGGCCCACCAAGGCGACGAUCCGUAGCCGGUCUGAGAGGAUGAUCAGCCACACUGGAACUGAGACACGGUCCAGACUCCUACGGGAGGCAGCAGUGGGGAAUAUUGGACAAUGGGCGCAAGCCUGAUCCAGCCAUACCGCGUGGGUGAAGAAGGCCUUCGGGUUGUAAAGCCCUUUUGUUGGGAAAGAAAAGCAGCAGGUUAAUACCCCGCUGUUCUGGCGGUACCCAAAGAAUAAGCACCGGCUAACUUCGUG